UUCUGUCGUUCCACGCCUUGCUCUUAUGGAACGGGGUCACAUGAUCUCAGGCUGCAGAUUCACCAAGGCAAUGAACGCUGCACAAGUGGGAAAUUGCGAUAAUGGAAGCUUUUGCUGACAAAAUUCCAGCUGGUGUGGAUAUUGAAAUAUUAAUGUCGAUGCACAUAUCUCUUGUUGUGCCAUCUUUGGCUUAUGGUCAGAUUGGCAUUGGUGGAGCAAUUUUGCAACAGCUCUUUUAGAGUAAACCAGUGUAUGUGCGACCAAACAAACAGAUCAUAAUUGAGCAUCAGGAAAAUGUGUGCACAAGAAAAAGUCAUGAUGAUUUACCUGAUUUGUUUGUGGAUGCGCAAAUGUCAAUAAGCUCUACCUAUGCCAAUCCAGAGCCAUUGGCUUUGUCACAAGAUACAGCACAAUCUCCAUUUUCACUGCCUCAAGAGACAGCACAAGCUUCUUUACAAUCAACCACUGAUCUUCAUGCAGUUUGUGUACAGGAUGCAUCAGCACAAUCUCCAUUUUCAUUGCCUCUAGAGACAGCACAAACUUCUUUACAGUCAACCACUGAUCUUCAUGCAGUUUGUGUACAGGAUACAUCAGUGCAGGUGGAACUGAGAAAACGCCACACAUUCGACACAAUCUUCAAAAACCAGAAUGGCAAGCAAUUGCCAGAGUUUUAGUGUUUGGAUAUCAAAAAGCCAAAUAUUUUCCUGUGCAGCUGUCACAAUUCUUCAUUCUUUGCUGCUUGUUUGGUGAAGAAAGUUUGGGCAAAGAAUCUCUACUGCAAGCAUAUUGUUGUUACGUGCCAGCAGACGAUGGAGAGAUUCUAGAUUAAGUGCAGAGUUGUGAAUUAGAUCGUAAUGAUGAAGACCUAUUGCACUUUUUGUCAUCCAAUAAGUGCUAUAAAGCCCCCACCAAGGAGAACAUUGCCUCCAUAGUACUUGAACUUGCACACCUGGAACUCAUUCAAAAGACCAGAUACAUCACAAAUUGUUGGUCGCCAAUUUUAAAAACUCUUCAGAAUGAUGCAAACUCCAUCUUUUCAACACCUCAGCAAGUUGAACAGUUAUAUGAAGAAAAACACCCAACAGCCAAAAAGGUUAACAAGCUUUUUAUUGCUAGUGUGAGUACUGAUGCUGAACGGCAGAGCUUGGAUUUCCUAAAAAGAUAUGUGAAAUCAUUGGAAAAAAAGGCUAUUGAAAGAUUUCUGCAUUUUUUAACUGGUAGUGAUGUAUUGACAUGUGAUUUAAUUGAAAUUACAUUAACAAACCUUCAUGGCUUUUCACGACGGCCUAUUGCCCACACAUUUGGACCAACCCUAGAGCUACCAACAUCCUUUGAAAGCUUUGCAGAACUGGCAGAAGAGUUUACAAGCAUAAUGAGAGAAAGCACAUCAUGGUCAUGUGACAUUGUGUAAAGUUGUUUUUUAUUAUUUUUCAAAAUAUCAAAUAGUUUUGUUUAAACGGAAAGAGAACUGACAGUUUUUAAAAAAAUGUUAAAUUCUUGAUCUAUGAGCUUAUUUUUGGCUUGCAUUAUUUUACUAAAAUACAUUUGUUUCAUUUGUUAAA